rnacentral:rRNA from 1 species
UACGUAGGGUGCAAGCGUUAAUCGGAAUUACUGGGCGUAAAGCGUGCGCAGGCGGUUAUAUAAGACAGGCGUGAAAUCCCCGGGCUCAACCUGGGAAUUGCGCUUGUGACUGCAAGGCUAGAGUACGGCAGAGGGGGAUGGAAUUCCGCGUGUAGCAGUGAAAUGCGUAGAUAUGCGGAGGAACACCAAUGGCGAAGGCAAUCCCCUGGGCCUGUACUGACGCUCAUGCACGAAAGCGUGGGGAGCAAACAGG